UACGUAGGGACCGAGCGUUGUUCGGAAUUACUGGGCGUAAAGAGUGUGUAGGCGGUGCUCUAAGUUCGGUGUGAAAUCUCCUGCUUAACUGGGAGGGUGCGCCGGAAACUGGAGUGCUUGAGCGUGGGAGAGGAAAGCGGAAUUCCUGGUGUAGCGGUGAAAUGCGUAGAUAUCAGGAGGAACACCUGUGGUGUAGACGGCUUUCUGGACCAUUGCUGACGCUGAGACACGAAAGCGUGGGUAGCAAACAGG
rnacentral:rRNA from 1 species